UACGUAGGGUGCAAGCGUUAAUCGGAAUUACUGGGCGUAAAGCGUGCGCAGGCGGUUUUGUAAGUCUGUCGUGAAAGCCCCGGGCUCAACCUGGGAAUUGCGAUGGAGACUGCAAGGCUUGAUUCUGGCAGAGGGGGGUAGAAUUCCACGUGUAGCAGUGAAAUGCGUAGAGAUGUGGAGGAACACCGAUGGCGAAGGCAGCCCCCUGGGUCAAGAUUGACGCUCAUGCACGAAAGCGUGGGGAGCAAACAGG
rnacentral:rRNA from 1 species